UACGUAGGGGGCAAGCGUUGUCCGGAUUUAUUGGGCGUAAAGAGCGUGUAGGCGGUUAGGUAGGUCCGUUGUGAAAACUCGAGGCUCAACCUCGAGACGCCGAUGGAAACCCCCUAACUAGAGUCCGGAAGAGGAGAGUGGAAUUCCUGGUGUAGCGGUGAAAUGCGCAGAUAUCAGGAAGAACACCAAUGGCGAAAGCAGCUCUCUGGGACGGUACUGACGCUGAGACGCGAAAGCGUGGGGAGCGAACAGG
rnacentral:rRNA from 1 species